rnacentral:rRNA from 1 species
UCCGUAGGCGGUGUAGCAAGUCGAUAGUGAAAUCUCUGGGCUUAACUCAGAGGCUGCUAACGAAACUGCUAUGCUAGAGUGUGAGAGAGGCGAGUGGAAUUACGGGUGUAGCGGUGAAAUGCGUAGAUAUCCGUAGGAACAUCCGAGGCGAAGGCGGCUCGCUGGAUCACAACUGACGCUGAGGGACGAAAGCUAGGGGAGCAAACAGGAUUAGAUACCCUGGUAGUCCUAGCCCUAAACCAUCAGGACUUGGGGUUUGCCCUGUACGGGGCAAGUCCCGUAGCUAACGCGUUAAGUCCUGCGCCUGGGGAUACGGUCGCAAGGCUGAA